CCCUGGAGAAAUCAACACCCCUCUUGGAUUUUUUCUGCAAGAAGGAGAGCAUAAUAAAGGAAUCAACACCAAUUGACUAGCUAGAUUACGUUUUAAACAGAAUGCAUAUAGUUUCUUCUCACUUUUUCAGCUCUUCUACUGUAAGUUCAUCAUUGCGGUAAACUUCAAAAUGGCAUCCUAGCUCUCCCAUAUACUGUAGAAAUAGAUAACAAU
rnacentral:sRNA from 1 species